UCAGUUCAAAGGAAUCCUCCUCUUUUACUAACCAAACACUCCUACUCAACUUGUUCCCCCCAGUGAAUGUGCUAAUCAAUGUUAAUUGUUGUUUGACUUUCCCUCGGUGUGAAAUGAUUUUCUAUAUGAUGUUAUGACACAUAGAGUAUCCCCCAAAACCUAUAAAAUCUCAUUGAACAAAGGACCGGGACUCACUCCUCAGGACCGCUGUGUCGGGAACGGUUGUUGAGUCCAGGCUUGCAAUAGAGACUCUUGUGUGAUUGCAUCGGAUUCGGCUCCUGGAGGUCUAUUGGGGUCCCAUGAAUCUGGCAUUACAGGGGCAGUACCAGAGAUUGAACUCAGGGCACUCAACCACCGAGCCACAUCCCAAGCCUUAUUUUGUAUUUUAUUUAGAGUUGCUUAGCGCCCUGCUUUUGUUGAGGCUGGCUUUGAAAUCGUGAUUCUCCUGCCUCAGCCUCCUGAGCUGCUGGGUCUCCCAGACUUCUUACGUGGUAGUGUUCAUGCCUCAAUUCCUGGAUCUUUUCUUUUUCUGUCCCUAGGUGAUCUCAUACAGUUUCAUGGUUCCCCACCAGAUUUAAAUAGUUUCUUCAAAGACCAUGUUUGUGUUGACAACUUCAAAUUACUAUUUCUAGAUCAGACCACUCCCUGGAAUUCCAGACUUGUACUUCCAAUGUCUGGAUUCAUCCAAGGUACCACAUUAUGUAUAUUUGUCCAGUGUCUUUGGAUUCUUCUUGCCUGUGACAGUUUUACAAAGUUUCCUUGAUUUUUCUGACCUUGAUAAUUUAGAGGAGUACUGGUCAAACACUUUAUAGGAUGUCCUCUUUUGGAAUUUGGUGUUUUCCUAGUGAUUAGCCAUCUGUGGGCUGUGUGUGGACUAUGUUGCUAGUAUCCUCCUGAGGAGAUAAGUCUGGCCCUGGGACCUUCCUGAGCAACCCCCAUAGGCAUUGACUGCCUGAAGCAGGUGAACUUCCCCUUCAAGCUCUGCCUAAGAUUCUACACAACACCUGAGAUGAGUGUGACUUGCCGAGAUGUCAAUCAACCUGCUGACUGCAAGACAUCACUGAAGCAAGACUCACCCUUGAAAACUUAUCCCUGCCUUUGAUGUACCCCCUUAAAUAAACCACCAGAGCCAUU